GCAGCCGGUUAGCCGGCUCCAUCGAAUUAUAAGACGUUGUCACGUCAAUGAUCGUCGUGCUUUACGAUUAAAUACCUCACACACAACUCGCAAAGUAGCACGAUUGACGAAUAUUCGCCGAUUACACGAGUCGUAUGGGACCGGCUUAAUAUCAAGGCUCUUUGGUUUACGCCAUACGGUAACAGUGAAGAUAUAAUAAAUAAACGAGGGAUUACGCUCAAUAACGGUUUAAAAUAAAAGUAACCGAUGCGAACGGACAGCGAAUCGAAGGGGAAAGAAACUUGGUGACUUCCGGUGCAAUGCCAGUAUAACACCGAUUGUUGCCCCAUGGGAUGUGCCAAGUGAACAAGAUGCAAUACCGGAAUUAUUCUGACUAUUGUUGUCUGAAUCAAAAACCGCUCAACCCGUUUGGAUGGAAGUACUUCUUCCCUAGUUGUGUAAGUCGACCCGUGAAAUAUAGACAUUGUAACGAGACAACAUAUUCCUGAGUAUAGCGUACAUUCUAAUAUCGCCCUCAAGGCGUCAAAACCGGCUGAUCAAAAAUUAUCAUCGAAACUCAUUAGACCAGGUAGCGCGCGAUGAGCCGACCAUUUAGGAACCCGCAUAUAUACCACCGAUUGCUAUACAGAUAUUAGACACUUCUAUUGUUGACAUAAGGAGAUAUCACACAUAUAAUGGUCACGAAAUCUGCGUUCAACACAUUCCCCUGUGCCUGGACGCGCUGUCGAUUAUGCAUAUGGGCACGACUGAUUCAAAGUAAUCAUCGUGUCAUACGUAUUGCCUAAUCCAUAGUUGCCCCAAGUACUCACAUUACCCCGUGAACAGCAACACAGUGUUCCGUACCGUUGAAGAGAGUGUGAGCCGUCGCCGUCCGAGUGUAACGAGCCACCAGCCGACCAGUGUCCGCCCACAGUACGUGAGAGCCCAGUACGAACACUAAUAUCUCUGUUUAGUAGUGAGUAAUAAAUACUUAAUAAUCUAUGUCGUGUAAAAAUGUGUAAACUCGACAACGAGUAUUAUAUGUAACAAUUGUAUACCGAAU
rnacentral:lncRNA from 1 species